ACACACAGGAAGUUCCUAUUCUACCACAACAAACCGAUGUGUGAGUUAAUUUCUGAUGUGAAACAAACUAAAGUGUGUGAAAAUGGACUAAGAACAAACGAGGACCUGAGCCCUAGGACCAUGCCUUAGGACUACCUGACCUGAUGACUCCUUGCUGUCCCCAGUCCACCUGGUUGUGCUGCUGCUCCAGUUUGAACUGUUCUGCCUGCGGCUAUGGAACCCUGACCUGUUCACUGGACAUACUACCUUGUCCCAGACCUGCUGUUUUUAACUCUCUAAAGACAGCAAGAUCGGUAGAGAUACUCUGAAUGAUCGGCUAUGAAAAGCCAACUGACAUUUACUCCUGAGGUGCUGAGCGGCACCCUCUACAACUACUGUGAUUAUUAUUAUUUGACCCUGCUGGUCAUCUAUGAACAUUUGAACAUCUUGGCCAUGUUCUGUUAUAAUCUCCACUCAGCACUGCCAGAAGAGGACUGGCCACCCCUCAGCCUGGUUCCUCUCUAGGUUUCUUCCUAGGUUCUGGCCUUUUUAGGGAGUUUUUCCUUGCCACUGUGCUUCUACACCUGCAUUGCUUGCUGUUUGGGGUUUUAGGCUGGGUUUCUGUGCAGCACUUUAUGACAUCAGCUGAUGUAAGAAGGGCUUUAUAAAUACUUUUGAUUGAUUUUAACUCUUUUCAUUUGGGGAACUAUCAUUUUCAAAUGUGUUCUAUUUUAGUCCAUGAUAUUGUUGUUACAAAAUAGAUGUGUUGACUGAUUAGGGUAUGGGAAUAUAAGAACAUCUGCUAGGCUAAAUUAAACUAGGCAUGCAUAGCGCACCACAUGAUCCUCAAACCAAAGACUGGCCAAACUCGUGCUUCUAAAAGUGAAUUCAAUAAGGCGUUUUUCAGUUAAUUCCAAUCAGAAUAAGUUGUUCCCCACAAAAGGGCUUUCUUACAGACAGAAAUACCCUCCCCCCUCACCGGAUUUGGAGGUCCUGGGCUGGCGUGGUUACAAGGUGCACUUGUGUAAUGAUCAUGCUGUUUAUCAGCAUCUUGAUUUGCCACACCUGUCAGGUGGAUGGAUUACCUUGACAAAGGAUAAAAUGCUCACUAACAGGGAUGUAUACAAUUUGUGCACAAAAUUUUAGAGAAAUACACUUUUUUGUAGGCAUGGAACAUUUCUGGGAUCUUUUAUUUCAGCUCAAGAAACAUGGGACCAGUGUUUUAUUUAUGUUCACUGUAGCAUAAAAGAUCGAGUUAUAUAAUCAGGUCCAUUUUAAUUUAUUUUGAAAUCUUAAAUUAUCAACAUGUAGGCCUAUGCUUUUAGCUAUUUUCUUUAACAAAAGCCACAACAACCUCAUAACUCCUCAAUUCAAGACCUGUUUUUACCUUAACACGGCAAGCUCUUCACUGACACAGAUAUUUAAAGAGUGCAUGGUCACUGAAGUGAUUGGCUGACUAAAUCUAUGGAUGGUAGACUAUAAAUUAAUCUGUCAAACAGGUAGGCCUACCUGUUAUUUCUUGAAUAUGAAUCAGUUCUUAAACAAAGCACUCUUGUUAGUAGCCUAAAGUCAAAUGAAAAUGAAGACUAUUUAAAUGAAUUAGGUCUUCUUGAAUGAACCUACUUUCAGCAGCCAUGCGCUGUCCAUCUCCGCGGCUGCGGCUUCAUAGUAAUGUUUGUAAAUUACUCAGGUCAAUAACUCUGAUAAAUAGCUUCAUUAUGGGAAACUAAACAAAUGUUUUUAUUAAAAUGAUAGCGAGGUCAUCCUCUUCACGCUCUCCCUUCCAAACGGAACAGGACAUCAGUAGGUCUAGUCCGAGUGCACAGAUAUAGCUUUUUUUUUUUACGAAUUGACUGGCCUGAAGUGCCACCGUACACAGCACAUCCAUGAUUGGGAACGCCUAUCCAUUGCAUUGUGUAACGCAGUGUAGCCUAGUUUUAUGUACACCAUCUCAGCAGCGCAAAAACGUGGGAAGUACAUUAUUUUAGAAGCAUAGCUUUGCCCUGUGCUCUUCGUGUAGCCUAGGCCUAUAGUAUAGGCCAGCCUUUCUCAAACUAUUUUGUACCAGGGAUACCCAAGAGGGGUUUUCAACAGCCAGUCUGUUGCCAUAUUUUUAUUUUGUUGCAGCA